AGAAUUGGCAUCUGACUUUACCAUGGAUGAAAUAAUAUCUGGUGCCCCCGCUACUGAGAUGCUGGAGGCGCUGGUGGUUACCAUUCCUAAAGCAGGAAAAUUUCAAGUUUCCACAACACUGAAUUGUCAAGGCUCCACAAUAGCCAAUGAAUAGGUCAUACUUACAGUUCGAGUCUAUUGUGUUGAAUAGGACGUUG